rnacentral:rRNA from 1 species
GACGAACGCUGGCGGCGUGCUUAACACAUGCAAGUCGAACGGAAAGGCCCUGCUUUUGUGGGGUGCUCGAGUGGCGAACGGGUGAGUAACACGUGAGUAACCUGCCCUUGACUUUGGGAUAACUUCAGGAAACUGGGGCUAAUACCGGAUAGGAGCUCCUGCUGCAUGGUGGGCGUUGGAAAGUUUCGGCGGUUGGGGAUGGACUCGCGGCUUAUCAGCUUGUUGGUGGGGUAGUGGCUUACCACGGCUUUGACGGGUAGCCCGCCUGGGAGGGUGACCGGCGACAAGGGGCCUGAGGGACGCACCAGACGGCUACGGGCGGCAGCAGGGGGGAAUAUGGCACAGUGGGCGGGAGCGUGAGGCAGCAGCGCCGCGUGCGGGAUGACGGCCUUCGGGGUGUGAACCGCUUUCGCCUGUGACGAAGCGUGAGUGACGGUAAUGGGUAAAGAAGCACCGGCUAACUACGUG